UGAGAGCAGGGCCCAUUCAGGAGAGUCAUAUCACCUAGCUGCUUGGCCAAGCAAUAUAUCACAAUGACCCCUUUGCACAGGACCAAGACAAGACAGCUCCAUGACCAGGGAGCUGGGUCCAGCUAUGUGUCACAAUUCCUUUUGUGGAAAGUGCCCAGUUAGAAGAGCAGAGUCACAGCACCUAGGUGAUGGACCCAGAGAGAUGCCACAACGCCAUUUGUGGGCUGGGCCCUGGGAGAAGAAUAACAUCACCCGGUGCUGGGCCCAGCAAUAUGUUGCAAUCCCAACUGGAAAAAGGUGUAAGAGUCAACAACUCCUGAGACUUAGGUUCAAGUGCAUGAGUCACAAUCUCAACAGUGGAUUGCAUCCUGCCAUGAGAGCCCCAAUCCCUUCUCCAAGCUGUGUUCCAGUAGAGGAGUCGCAACAUCAAUGGUGUGCUGAAUCCUGGUUGGAGAGUUCCCACUUCACCUGUGGACUGGAUCUGUAUAUAAGAGGAGAGAUGUCGACUCUCAUGCCUGGGCUUAGGGCAAUGGGCAUGAUCCUACAUUUGGGAUUGUAGCAACAACUCUUGACUGCCCUUGGGUGUGAGAUUCAGAACCUCAAUUGUGACCUGUGUACACUUGGGCAUGUGACAAUUUCUACUUUUGGCUGUGUGUUCAUACAAGACUCUCAAUCUCACCUGUGUUCUGGGCCCUGUUA
rnacentral:lncRNA from 1 species